CAGAUAUUUGGGGAAAAGGGCAUUAUGAGUCAAAGAAUGGGAGCUCCACUGUUCUUCCUUUCUGCUGAAAUCAGAAGAGAAAUAGACCAAACUGCAGAAGGUGGGUAGAUCAUAGGAAGGCCUUCUGGACAGUGAGGACUGAACAGUUCAAAAGGUCUGCACAUCUCCUUCCUGGAAAGCAUUCAGGGUGACAGGAAGCCACUGCUGGCCCUCGGCAGGCUCUGCUCACUGCAGCUGCAACCAUGGUGAAUCGGGACGUAGCUGGGAAGGGGAUUUUGCAGAAACCGCGGCAGGGCUGCUGCCUAGAGGCUGAGGAUGUAGAUUAAGGUACCAGCAGGACCUGGGCUUGGAUUCUGACUCCACCAUCUACCUUUGCUGGGGAACUUGGACUAAUUGCUGUGUUAUGGUUACCUCACCUAUAAAUUGGGAGUAAGAACACCUACCUCAGUAGGAGGUAUAGCUCAGUGGUAGAGUGCAUGCUUGGUAUACAUGUGGUCCUGGGUUCAGUCCCCGGCUGAGGGGGGGGAGCGGGGGUGGGGGAGGAGCGGAAUGAAAUAAAAAACUUACAAAAAGAACACUUACCUCACAGGCUUGUGAGGAUUAACUGAGUUAACACCUAGAACAGGAGCUGGCAUGCAAUCUGUGCCCAAUAAUUGGUGGAUUGGAGGCACAUGGAACAGACAUUUUGGACAAACAUCAAAUCAAUAUUUGGCUGAAAUAUGACCGUAGAAUAAAAUUCUUGGGAACAAGAGUAAAUCUUAAAUUUUAUUUAGUUACUAUUGCAAUUUUGUUCUUCUGAAAAUUCAGUAGCCAAGUUUCUAAAGUGUGUCAUAAUGCAGAAAUAAUACUUUCUCAGCAUGUUCAGCAGUUGAAUUGUGCCUGCACUCACCACACGGCACACUUGGGAUGUUAAAAAACAGCUGGAUUUCAUCUAAGGUGGGUAGAGGGAAAUUUUCUGGAUACCCCACUUUUCUCUGACAUUUUCUUAUCUUUUUUUUGUUAUCAUGACUGGAUUGAAUGUGACAUAUCAUGGAUGUUGUAUGUUUCUUCCUUCUGAGAUUUUGAGGCAACAAAGUUGACAUUCUGCUGG